UGAUCCCACCUCUGGUGUGACUAGGGGUCCGUGUUUGUCCAACUCUAUAUUUUGUAUUGCUUACAUGAGUUAUGAGAUAGAUCACUGUUCGUUAUCUUCGCCUUCUUUUUUUAUUUAUUUCCCAGAAAACUUGAUCAUUCAAUAAUGUGUGUAUUUUAUGGACUUGUGUUUCUCUAAAAUCAAGAGAAAGCGAUAUUCCAAUGGUGAGGUGAUCGAGACAAAAUUAUGAAGAAUUCUAUCAUAGGAAAUGCGAAUCAACACGAUAUGAUAUAUUUAUUGGCUGCAGUGUUAUGUCGGACAUGUUUUUAUUUGUUUUAGCAAUAUAAGAAAAUAUUGUGAAAACUGUUGUAAAAUCUCCGAUCAUUUGAUAAAGCAGUUAUUGACUUUCGAUUCGGUCCACUCACGACUAUACGAUCCUGGUCAAGUCCAUGUAGUCAAUAGCUAAUAAACCUCACAUUGAAAGAAUGAAUUAAAGUGGUCAUCUAAACUCACUUUUAUUUUAACCAUACGACCAAUCAGCGAGUGAAAUUUGCAUGCUCGAUCAAGCGAAAUGACAUGCUGUUGUUGGAACGAUAAUAUUUGUUGCCAUUAUCUUUUAUUACUUAUUGUACCUAAUGUACCACUGAUGGAUGGUGUGAGUGAAUAAAUGAACUUGAAUUACUGUCACUUCGCGUGAUCAAGCGUGCAGAUUUUUUGGGCGAACCUUCUUAUAGAUUUCAAUAAUGAAACAAUUUUUCUUUUGUUCUCAGUGAUCAAUCACAUUGAUUGAUUGUUGUUUAACGUCCCUCUCGAGAAUAUCUUACUCACAUGGAGACGUCACCACUGCCGGUGAAGGGCUGCAAAAUUUAGGCCUAUGCUCGGUGCUUAUGGUCUUUGAGCAGGGAGGGAUCUUUAUCGUGCCAAGCGUGCUAUGACACGGGACCUCGGUUUUUUGCGAUCUCAUCCGAAGGACUGCUCCAUUUAAUCGCCUUCUACGACAAGCAAAGGGUACUGAGGACCUAUUCUAACCCGGAUCCCCACGGGACCCAAUCACAUAGCGUAAUCACCCAGACUCACUUUUAUUGAAACCACACGACCAAACAGUGAGUGAAAUCUGCAUGCUCGAACAACCUAAGUAACACUGUUAUUGGAACGAUGUUUGAGGUCAAGCCUUAUUUUCCUUGGUCUAGAUUGAAUCGUUGUGGGGUAAAGAGCACCAAUAAUCGCACACGUAAUUUGCCUCAAUUCGUGAUCAUAAAUAAAAAUGAUAUAAUUUCAUUACACAUAGAAAGGCCGACAUCAAAUUUCAUUUCACGUAGAUCUUUUAAGAAAGCUUAUUGUAGGUAGGGAACACAAGAAUCCGAUAUGGCCUCGGACUUUGUAUCGUAGGGCUCCGAUAAAACGUGGCGUGAUUGCUGUGCAUUCUGUAACUAAAUAUGUGUUUCUGCAGUUACCUUGGUCUUUUCUCGCAACAUAACACACAUCAGGUAUAUAUACAAGCAGGUAAAUACGGGUAGAUAUGUUGACUGUCAAUUCUAUCCCUCUGCACAGCGGGCGUGCAGAUUAGGAAGUAGAUUAGGUCAUGGGCGGCUACAAGUAGUUAGUACGUGGCUGUGAACUGACUGUUCUCAUCUCGCAAGUAUAGACAACAUUGCCUGAUUUGGGACGAAUUUAUUCUGUCCUGUAAAAAGGGUAAUUGUUCAGAAGGUUGGGCUUCACUCCUCCAAAGUUGACAAACAACCAAACAAAGAGUCAUUAGUGACCUCGAAAAUUUCAAACGAAUCCAGGAACCAAAUCUGCAGUGCACUGAAGGACGCUAUAUAAAGCCACAAAGACUGAUUGGUGAAACGUUAAGCGCCAUCAUUUAGCGUAUCUAGCAAAUAGGCCCUAAAGAUAGUAGCCGACAGGAAGAAUUCUGUGAAGAAGUCGAUACUGUAGCCACUGUACAGAGGAAUCUGAUGUAGUUUUAAAACAAACUUGAAAACAUCCUUUAUGCAUAUAUCAUUGACACCAUGGGGAGAUAACUCUACAUUCCACUUUGGUAUUGAAGUGGGAGUUACCUCAUUUGUGUUUGUACAAUUAUAAAUAAUAUUUGUACAUCUGACAUUUGGCAGAAUAUUUUCAAAAUAAAAUGGUAAAUAAGGAAGACAAAUUUUCAACAUACAGGUCCUCUCAAUUGUCAAAAUCUUGAAGCAUUUUGAAAGAGCACAAAUAACACUAUUAUAUUGCAUCACAUCUAUAUCAGGGAUAUGAAACUUCUGUUCAAAAAUCAUUUUUGAUAAGAAUGUAUAUUCAUCAGACAAAAAAUCUCCAACAACUUAAAACACCUUGUUGGUACCAAUUCUUUAUAAAAAUACAUUUACCACCAAAGUUUAUGUUUGAAUUAUACCAUACUGGAAUAGUGAAUGUUUUAUUUUUCAUAUUCUUAUCUUGAUCUAUUUUCUUCAUAACAUGCUGCCAUGAGCUAAAAACAUCAUUCCAAAAAAUAUUAUUUUUGUUCAUUAGAACAUUUGAAAUAUACAAAUCUCCAAAAUCAAGUGUUUGUCAUCUUCAUGUGUUUUCGUAAUUUUGAUCCUAGAAAUGACACUAUAAAACCAUGGCGUGUAAGUAUUGAUAUAUUAACUCUGUCGAGCUACUUGUGCUAACUUGGAAGGCUCGGGUGAUGACACGCGGUAAUUAUGCUAAUGGCGGAGAUGACACAAUCAUGGCCAUGUUAUAUCACAUUGCAGAUGUCUCUUAGCAAUCGACAUGUUCUUGAUAGAUUAUUACCGUAUAUAAUAACCAUCUUGCUUGCCGAAGGACUCGUUAUCUAUUAUUUGACCACAUGGAAUACAUAUGAGCAUACAGUUACGUCACAAUGAGUAUCAACAGGCUACCAUAUCGAGAACAAACGCCCCAAGGAUGACGUAUUUAUAUAUUAAUAUCUGCUCUACACCAUUCCUAAUACAUCUAAAAUCCAUCUGAAAACUUCGCUGAUGACUUUCAUUGGUUGAUAAAUGCUGAGAUAUGCUUGGAUGUGCUCUGAUUCAUUCGAACGAGUAUAUUAUUUUAAUUUUAAUAGUUUCGGUCCGGGAAACACAUCUACAACAGUGUCAAGGCUCGUUAUAUUUAGAAAGAAGAAAUAUCUUGUGAAAGUUUUCUACAGUGUCAAUCCUUGCAAAACAAUAUUGCAUUUUCCUACCGUUUGAAUAAAUUUUGAUUGUCUGUGCUGUGUUUUGUGACACUCGAGUAAUUAAAUGCCAGGGAACCCAAUGCACAAGUAUGACAAAAUUUAAACAGGUGCCUUAAUUUAAGAAAUUGUCUAAUUAUUCGAUUUCUCAAAUUUCUAAUUAAAAAAUCGCAUUUGUAAUUAAUCUUCAUUUACAUACUUUGGUAGGUAUUCAUUUGGCGUAUAGUGUCACCGAUAUUGAAUAUUUUGAUGGUCUUUUUUAAAAUGUUGUUUCCCCAAUUCUGUUAAAUAAAGUGACUAAGACAAAACUAAUUUGACAGUCUUCUCGUCCUCUAAUCAAAGAUGACCCGCUGUCACAGGAGGGUUUCGUGUUACUGACUCAAGACCACCAAACAGUUCGUGUUUAAGGAGGGACCUGAUUGUAUUUAUUCUACAUAUCCCCCCAAUAUGGCUGUCUACAUGGUUGCGUUCAACACGUCAAGUGUAGGCUUGCAGUAAGGACAUCUCCCUGAUUUGUUUGUUUUAUAUAAGAGGAAUGUUAGAUAUGGAAAUAUAAGUCAAUUUGCUUUGUCAUAAACUUCGCCUUUUAUCUGAAGUGUUGGACGUGUACUUUACAUACCAUUACGUUAAGGAGGUAUGCUACACCAGAGAAAUUUGAUGUAGAUGAAAAGUGUAGGAUAUGUACAACAAUAUUUUGAAUUUGAAAAUUUUCAAAUUUACUUUAUUUUGUCAAAAAAUACAGUUUUAGUAGAAGGUAAUCUGAAAAAAAUUUAAAACCCCUGCUGGACUCGAACCUGCAACCUACAGUUCAGCAGUCGGUAUUCUUUUUUUUUCCCUCUAUUUUUCGGUAUUCUAACCUACUGAGCUACUCGGCUAGGUAUUUAAAUGGAAAAGGAAAAGUCAAAUAUUGCUGAUAUCGAUUUUGUCAUCCAUGUUUUUAAAGGAAGUCAGCCAUUAUGACGAUGUAGAGUACUACCUUAAUGCGAUACAACGGGUCACUUAAUGAUGCAACUAAAAUUACAAGAUUGAUUACUUUAAUCCCUUUACAUAGUUCCUUCUAGCAGUGUUUUAGUAUUUUACAUAGUCUUACAAAUGUACCGUUACUUAGAAUUACGGUACUGAGCGGUACUGAGGGACUGAAGACGAUUUGUACCAAUGUAUUGGAAGUUGUAUUUCCACCGAAUGGGUCCUCACAUGUUUAAAAGAUUUCUCCUUUUGAAACCAAGCCUCGCCUGUUUACAUAUCUGUGACUUCCGCCAUGUCAGGAUGUUGGGGUCUUUCAGAACAUGACAACGACUUCAAACCAUGGACAAUCCCGUUAUAGAUUUUUUAUGUCUCCCCGAUAACUUGUUUCGAGUUUGUAGAAUUUGUUUGUCAUGUCCUUAUUACAUAAUCGUGAGGAAUCUUUGUACGUCUUCAUUUUGC